rnacentral:rRNA from 8 species
CAACGACUCUCGGCAACGGAUAUCCCGGCUCUCGCAUCGAUGAAGAACGUAGCGAAAUGCGAUACUUGGUGUGAAUUGCAGAAUCCCGUGAACCAUCGAGUUUUUGAACGCAAGUUGCGCCCGAUGCCAUUAGGUUGAGGGCACGUCUGCCUGGGUGUCACAU